UUACUCGGAAUUACUGGGCGUAAAGCGUGCGUAGGUGGUGGUUUAAGUCUGAUGUGAAAGCCCUGGGCUCAACCUGGGAAUGGCAUUGGAAACUGGAUCACUGGAGUGCGGUAGAGGAUGGCGGAAUUCCCGGUGUAGCAGUGAAAUGCGUAGAGAUCGGGAGGAACAUCCGUGGCGAAGGCGGCCAUCUGGACCAGCACUGACACUGAGGCACGAAAGCGUGGGGAGCAAACAGGAUUAGAUACCCUGGUAGUCCACGCCCUAAACGAUGCGAACUGGAUGUUGGGGGCAAUCAGGCCUUCAGUAUCGAAGCUAACGCGUUAAGUUCGCCGCCUGGGGAGUACGGUCGCAAGACUGAAACUCAAAGGAAUUGACGGGGGCCCGCACAAGCGGUGGAGUAUGUGGUUUAAUUCGAUGCAUCGCGCAGAACCUUACCUGGC
rnacentral:rRNA from 1 species